AGCUAUCAGCUGCAAAAACAAAAAUCGGACCCCCCUAUCGAUCAUCUUCUUCAAGCAGCCUUCCAUGGUUUUUUUUUUCUGAACAAAAAAACAACACCCCUAGCCUUUUCAUCUUCUUAGUCGUUGAACAGACUCAGCGACCCUCCUCAUUUUCCAUCGUCUUCCCCCUCAUUCUCUCACCAUCGCCACUAGCCUUUCCAUCCUCCACAAAACACGCACACACGGACAGAGAUUGGGGGAACAAAUUUUGGGGAUAAAAUUGGGAAGGAAGGCAGAGAAACAGUUUGACUGCUGCGUAGUCGAAGUUUCCGUUCGAGGUAUGGUCUGUAUUUCCGAUUCGGGUUCGCGGUUCCCUUCUCGAUUUCGUUGCUAUUUUUCUCAGUUAGAUUUGAAGCCCUGUACUUUUAGAUUUCUCAUAUAUUAAUGCAGGUUCAUCUUUUUCAUCCCUUUAUUUCCGUUGUGAAUCGAGCUUGAUGAGCCAUUAAAAGAAGUUAUCGUUGGGGGUUUAACAAUGUCGUUUUAUUUAGUUUGUCUUAUUUUGACUGUUCGUUUGUUCUUCAAAUUCGUAUAUUAAAUUCUGCUAAUGCUCGAGUGAGCGUAGAUUUGAUCAUAUAUAGAACUGUUACAAUGAAUAUAUAUGUUGAGCUGAUUUGCCAUUUGGACGACUAAACAAAAUAUUUCAAUUGGCUCUUUAGAUGAUUUUUUCCUUUUCUUCUUUUCGUUGCUAGGCAAUAUGAAAACAUAAGGCGUGUUUCUUCCUUAGUUAUUUUAAUUUUUCUAUAAAAUUUUUUCAUUAUUUCUAACAUACUAGAGUUUUCGAUUAAUUGGUCUUAAAAAAUGAAUAUAGACUUUUGAUACCUAUAGCCAAAAUUAGUCACAGAAUUUUCCGUUAGCUUUUUCUUCUCUCGUUUUGGUCAGUGAAUAAUAUUGGGAUUGAAACUUCUUUGCCGGUCAUUGUCCUUUACUAUUUUCUUUCACGUGAUAUAAUUAUGAUCUUUUCCAAAAUAAAUUAAGGUGUGUGUUCGCGCAACAUUGGCCAAACGUUUCUUAAAUAACUAAGUGUUAGGAAUUGUAGACACGUACACAUGACAUGAUUUUUGAUGCACCAAACGAAAUGAGUACACGUACGCGUGACUCGUUUUAGGAUAAUUUUUUAAUUAAAAGAGGUGAAUGCACAUAGGUUCUAAUGAUUUGUCAAACAAUUUAAUAAGCCAAGUAUGAUCAAAGCAACCAUGCUAGAACCACGGAACUCGGGAAUGCCUAACACCUUCUCCCGGGUUUACAAGAUUCCUUACCCGUAUUUCUGUGUUCGCAAACCGUCAAUAAAAGUCAAAUUUCCUCGAUUCGGAAUUUUAAACCGUGACUUGGGACACCCUAAAUUAUCUCAAGUGGUGACUCUGAAUUUUAAAUAAAAUAAUCUCGUUUCGAUUGUCACUUAAAUUGGAAAAACUCCCUUAUACCCCUUCCGGUGGUAGGAAAAAGGAGGUGUGACAGCUCUGGCGACUCCACUGGGGAUCGAACCCAAAAUCUCUAGUUCAGGGUUCAAGAAUUCAAGCUUGUUUCAUGAUUUUUACUUGGCUUUAUUUAUUGUUCAUAAUACUGUAUUCUGUGAACCUUUGUGCUAAUUGCUAUCUGUUUACCGCUUUAUUAUUGUUGGAACUGUAUAUAACUGUCUUCUUACUCCACCCAUCUGAGUCUUCUGAAAAUGGUGCACACGUUCGCGUGGCCCGCUUUUUCUGUAAAAAUUAUACCAAAUAGAACGACACUGGGCAAGCGACAAGGCCGGGCAGACUUCAGUGCUCGCGGUACGUCGCCCCCUCUUCGGCCCCAGUUGUCCGCUCAGUUACCCUAAGUAUAGACCAAAACCCCAGGAUUUAAGCCUAGAAAAAACAUAGCUUCAUGUCGGACCCCUAGUAGGAACGUUUGUUUGCAUCAUGUGCAUUUGACUUAGGGGACUCAACACAGGGGUUGGGUCUGUCUAGGACAGAUGUGCCCAAAAUAACAGACUAUCCUGAUACAUUCUAUGUGUUAUGUGAAUAUUUAUUUGUUUCGGCUUGCAUGCUGACCGGCUAGGAAAAAUAAAAUAAAAACCCAAGAGUGAUGUAGGGAAGAAAUAAAGCCCGAUUCUAAAGAAAAACCCAGUAUUUGAAAACAUCCUGAAACUCUACCAAAACUUUUCAAAAAAAAGAGAGUUAAUUAAAAAAACAGUCAAACACUGUGUCUUUUCAAAUGUGUCAAAGCUGACCAAACUACGCAGGUUUGAUUCUCACCAGAUGUGGGAUACGUAUGCAACCUACAUAAGGUUCGACCUUAUUUUUGAAAAAAAAAACAACAAGAAAAAGAGAAUUAGUGGUCAAGUAAAUGUAGUUUGAAGAUUUGGUCAAAAUAAGCCGAUCUAGCUUCAGCAAUGUCUUAAACCGUUUUUGCCAGGAUAGUCUUAGAGUAUUUCCAGUUGUCGAAAGGCUAUUUUCAUAAAAAGAAUGGACAAGCUUGUAAAGUGUCAUAAAAUAGUCCUCCUCGGCCUCAAAAUUCAUAUGGAAUUGGGAAGGGGCCGCGUUUGUAAAAACAGUCAUUUGGCUAAAAUCAGCAUAUAUGGGAAGGAGUCAUGGUCCUUGAUUUUUUCGCGUAAAAAAACAAAAUUUUUGGAAAUCUGUGUUACAAAAACAAAAUCCCACUAUAGUCAAACCUAACCUUAACCUUCCACAGAAACAAAUGAAUACUAUCCAGGAUCCGCCAGAAGUGGUCAGGGAACAGGCUUAGUUGCACUUGCGUAUGUGUUGGAUAGAUCUAAAUGAAGAUGGUCAGAAAUGGGUGAAAAAGUAGUUGGGUGCCCUUAUGAACAUUUUUGAGAUUAAACCAUGGGAAGAUCUAAUCAAGGCUUUGGUAACUUUCUGGGACCCUGCCCACAAUGUUUUUCGUUUCUCGGACUUCGAGAUCACCCCUACUUUGGAGGAAAUGGCUGGAUACAUUGAGUUUGGAUAGGAUUUGAGGAAACAACAACUUAUAUUUUUGAGGUCUCCGUCGGUGCACAAGUUUUUUGACCUCCUGAAUACCAGUAAACAUAUAAAGAAAGCCCAUGUAAAAAAAGAGUGUUGUGCUUUCCAUUUCUUAUACUUCAGGUUCGGGCACUCAACUGGUUUCGAAACGCAUGAAAAAGGUUUGAGCAAUAAAUAGGAUAAGGGCCUUUGGCAAAUUCAUCGCCGGUUUGCAUUUAUUGCGGCGUUCUUGGGGAUUAUGGUUUUUCCAAAUGAGGAAGGGACAAUGGAUAUUCGUAUGGUUAGAAUUGCACAAAUCUUCACUACCAAGGAAGAUCAUACACUUGUCCCGUUGGUGCUGGCGGAUAUUUAUCGAGAAUUGACAUUAUGCAAAGUCGGGGCUCAAUUCUUUGAAGGUUGCAAUGUCCUUCUACAAAUGUGGUUGACCGAGCAUCUUCUCCAUCACCCCAGAUUCACGAGUUAUGGUUCGAGCCCGGGUAACUUCAUCGCCAGUUACGAGGAGAGGGUAAAGCAUUACAACGUGCCAAAAGGGUUUGAAGCGUGGGUCUCCCACUUGAAAGCUCUCAAAGCAGGUCAGGUCGAGUGGACUAUAGGAUGUCUCCCGAGGACAGAAGCAAUAUAUAUGACUACUACCAAGGUCUACCUGAGGUUGAUGGGUGUAAAGAGUAUCCAGCCAUAUGCGCCACAGAGGGUCUUGAGGCAAUUGGGAAGAUAUCAGAUUGUGCCCGAAGAUGAAGAUCUAAGCACCCAAGUCAUAGAGCUGCAUCUAGAAGCUACAUUGCCCGAGGCCUUAGUUCAGCAGGAUUGGAAUAACUGCCGGUAUCUGAAAAUUGGCACUCAGGUACCAGAUGUGGCAAAAGGGGAAGUAGAUCCAAACUAUGCUACUUGGUUUGAGAAAAGGUCUUGCGUAAAUAACGAGCCAGAUCCCGAGCCCUAGAGGCCUACCAAAAGACCGCAUAUUCAAUAUUUUAACGACAAAAUCCAAGAAAGGUUGGCAUGUGGGAAAAAAGACAAGACAUAUCAAGCCGAGAUUCACGCCUUGAAAGAAAAGAUGAGAAACAUAGAAUUCGACAAUGAUCUCCAAGCACAAGAAGCCGAAGGCAAAAAGAAAAGGUUAACAAAGAAAAUGAGGCCCUUCAAGCCUAGAUUCGGGAAAUGAAAAUAGCAACCGAAAACCCCGCCAGAAGUGCAAAAGAUGGAAAGCUUAUAGAUAACCUUAGGCUGAAUGUGAGUGAGUAUGGUUUUGAUUUGAACAAGGCCGAAGGCGAACUGGAACGAGCUCGAACAAAUUGGCCAAGAAUGCGGAGGAACGAGCGCGCCUGGUUAAACAGUUAAAAGAGAAAUACGGCAAUGAGGUUGCAGGGUUGAAGAAAAGGGUCAUCACCAUUGAGAACAAAAUGAUCAAGCAGGCGAAAAACUUUAAGGCUGAAAGAGAACACUGUUAUACAGCAAUGGCACAGUUAGAAAGAGAUUUGCCACAACUUCAAGAAUAGAAUCAUGUAGCCGAAUAAACUUUGGGAGCCAGGGCCCAGCAGAUUGGGCGUUUGUUGCAGGAAAAGGCUGUCAUAAGAGAGAGAGUCAGAAGAAUCGCCGACUACAUCGCGAUGAAGUGCAGUAGUUGUGAGGAUAUGACUAGAUCCAUGUUCUUUGCCACUGUGAUGACCUUUGUCCGCCAGAUAAUGAAAGAUCUCUACCACCUCCAAGGGGAUUUAGCGCGUAGGCCCGUGGCAAAACCGAAUGAUGUCCUGCGGGCCCCAGGAGCAUUUGAGGCAUUGAUGUAUUCAUGAUUUUUACUCGAGUCUGUAUUUUUUUCUGUUGGAGUCUGUUAGUUUGUUUUCGAGUCUGUAUUUUCAUCUUGAUGUUCGAGUCCGUUAGUUUCCUUUUUGAGUAUGUUAAUUUUUGAUUCGUUGUAAUCAAAGCAUUUUCUUUUUAUGAAAACUUGAAAAAUCCCAAAAUGUUUUAUUGUUUAUUUUUACACUUAUCCCCCAGAACUACGCUCGGUCUGAUUCAUGCAGGGUCAUGAUACGUAGGUAAUCUCCAUAGGAUUCGACCAUAACCAAAAGAGGAAAAAAAAUAGAGAGAGGAAAAACAAAGAAAAAAAAGAAAAACAAGAAAGAAAAGAGAGAAAAAUAAGAAACCAUGGGGAUGAAACAAUGGCAAAACAAGAGAGAGAAAUGAGAGGAUAAAAACAAAGAGAAAUCAAGCAUAGAAUGGCAUGAGUGAAAAGAAAGGAGAAGAAGUUGCAAAUAAAAAUAAGGAAAAGCUGGGAUGACGCAAGCAGCCGAUCAAAUGCAUAAUAGAAACGAUUAACUGCUUAGGUGCAUUCACUCCUCAAAUGUGCGGUUGCUUAGCUGUUAAAGCCCUAAUCGCUAACAAGUUUGUUAUUAAUGAAAUUAAAGUUCAGGCAGGUGGUUAGUUUGAUUGGCAUUCUGGCAACUCACUCCUACAACACCCGGUCCAAAAACAAGCUGAACAUGGCUAACCAGGAACUUGAGGCAAUUAUGGUUGAUCCGUCAAAGGAGAUGGAAGAAUCGGAGGUCAAUCUGAGAGAUGAGUUUUAUAAUAUGAAGCAGUAGAUGGCUGAAAUGUACCAAGCAUGGGCAAAAGGGCACUGGUCACAGUAAACUCAACCUCACACAACAGUAGGAAGAGCGAGCGCUAAGACUUGUACCCGAAUAGUGGUAUCGGGGUCAAUUUCCACAGGGAGCUUGGAAUGGAGUUGCGUAUUUGUUCAGACUAGGAAUGCGUGUUUGCUCCUAAUUGUACUUCUAACAUUUUUUGGGGUUUUUGUUUAAUAACUACUAUUAUCAACUACAAGUUUAAGCUAAUUUAUGCUGAAGGG
rnacentral:lncRNA from 1 species